rnacentral:tRNA from 2 species
GGGUGAUUGGCGCAGUGGUAGCGCAGCUCGUUUACACCGAGAAGGUCGGGGGUUCAAAUCCCUCAUCACCCACCA